UUCAUUAUUAGUCCCUGCCUAUAUAGGCAGAGACUAAUGUUUUCGCCUCGCCAAAUUUCUAUUAAUCCUUGCUCGCAAAGCACGCUAGCAAAUAAAUAAAUUGCUUUUACUAUGGUCUGUAGCGUUUAGAUUUAAAAAAUAGAAUUUUAGAUAUUUUUUUUCUUUUUGUGAUUGGUCCUUCUUAUUUUUUCCAGUGGUUUUUAUAUUUUUCGAUUAAAAAUUAAGAGAGAAAAUCCCGUGACCAAUGAAAAAUGAGCAGGAAAAAUUUAAAAAUAUUCCUAAUGUUUCGAGGGUUUUGGUGGGUAUGUGGCAGAAUGGGAAUAGUUCACGUGUCUAUGUGUGACGUUGGGAAUUUAGGACAUUGGCAGUUAGCAUCCUCUAGAAGGUGCCCGAAACUACAACCUUCUUACACUCUGCUUCAGAGACCUCAUCUCCUGCAAGCGACCGCUAAUUCAACCAGGCUUAUUGCUGCUGCUCACUCAGGACUUUCCACCGCAUAUCUUACAAUGCAAGAUUUUUUACAACUCCUCAGAAGGGGUAGGGGUUAUAGUAAUAAUAAUAAUAGUCGUGGUUUAUAGGUUUCAUCUGUUGAGGGUUCUGCUACCAUGCCAAUCUCCUUUGUUGAGCAUGUUCUUCUAGGCGGUAUUGGUACUUACAGCAUAAGCCACAUUUCGACAUAUGGUCAGAGCAAUGGCAAAUCUGAAGCCGGUCCUCCUCUACCUCCUCCCAUGGUGCAUGUCACUGUAAUGGAAGCCAAACCAAAAAUCGCAGCCAAGGUUAUGUCUGCUAUGAACAAUUAUGGUGUAGGAAGCGGACCGACAUUCGCAUUGUGGAAAGAACGUGUUUGUGUUCCAGAAGGAAAUUGAACCACUGGCCCCCAUGCGAAAAGCGAUAUUUUGCGUAUUGGUUAGCAACUAGAUCAAAAACAGACAUGUUGUUCAUUGCUAAGAAUGCAUUCAUUCUCAACUCGAUUGAUGUCAAUCAACAGCCAAUUCUUUCCUCAAGAAAAGGUAACAACCACAAACAGGGCAAGGUCUUGUUAAGAAGAUGAAGUCCAUGAAACCUAUUUCGAAAGAUGAUGAAGUCAAUGAAACCCAUUUCGAAAGAUGAUGAAGAUGAAGAUGAUGAAUAUGUGGAUCAGAAUCGAGAGAAUUGGAUGAAAAUUUUGUCUCACAAAGGUAUCUGAAACAAGGAAAAAUAUGCUUUCCUUUUGGUUUCAUUUCUCGCAGGGAUUCUUUCCAUGUACUUUUAAGUUUAAGGAAAGCUUUUUAAUGUUAUAAGUUGAAAUAAUUUGCAACCUGAAAUUGGUUACAUUAUUCUUCAGGGGCAAUUUAAGAAGUUGGUCUAUCUGAUUAA